AACGAACGCUGGCGGCAGGCCUAACACAUGCAAGUCGAGCGCCCCGCAAGGGGAGCGGCGGACGGGUGAGUAACGCGUGGGAAUCUACCCAGAACUUCGGAACAACUGAGGGAAACUUCAGCUAAUACCGGAUACGCCCUACGGGGAAAGAUUUAUCGGUUCUGGAUGAGCCCGCGUUGGAUUAGCUAGUUGGUGAGGUAAAGGCUCACCAAGGCGACGAUCCAUAGCUGGUCUGAGAGGAUGAUCAGCCACACUGGGACUGAGACACGGCCCAGACUCCUACGGGAGGCAGCAGUGGGGAAUAUUGGACAAUGGGCGAAAGCCUGAUCCAGCCAUGCCGCGUGAGUGAUGAAGGCCUUAGGGUUGUAAAGCUCUUUCAGUAGGGAA
rnacentral:rRNA from 1 species